rnacentral:miRNA from 1 species
GCUGGACCUUGAAUAUCCUAUAU